GGGUUUCACCAGAAGUAGGUAGUCUAACCGCAAGGAGGGCGCUUGCCACGGUGUGAUUCAUGACUGGGGUGAAGUCGUAACAAGGUAGCUAUAGGUGAACCUGCAGAAGGAUCA
rnacentral:rRNA from 1 species